rnacentral:rRNA from 1 species
CCUACGGGAGGCAGCAGUAAGGAAUAUUGGUCAAUGGACGAAAGUCUGAACCAGCCAUGCCGCGUGAAGGAUUAAGGCCCUCUGGGUUGUAAACUUCUUUUAUCUGGGACGAAAAAACGGGUAUUCUUACUCACUUGACGGUACCAGAGGAAUAAGCACCGGCUAACUCCGUGCCAGCAGCCGCGGUAAUACGGAGGGUGCAAGCGUUAUCCGGAUUUACUGGGUUUAAACGGGUGCGUAGGUGGGCUUGUAAGUCAGUGGUGAAACUCUCCGGGCUUAACCCCGGGAAACUGCCAUUGAUACUAUAGGUCUUGAAUUAUCUGGAGGUAAGCGGAAUAUGUCAUGUAGCGGUGAAAUGCUUAGAUAUGACAUAGAACACCAAUUGCGAAGGCAGCUUACUACGGAUAUAUUGACACUGAGGCACGAAAGCGUGGGGAUCAAACAGGAUUAGAUACCCUGGUAGUCCACGCCCUAAACCGAUGGAUACUCGACAUCAGCGAUACACUGUUGGUGUCUGAGNGAGACAUAGUAUACCACCNCGAGUACGAGCGCAGAUAGAACGUACAACAGAGUAGUACGCGUGAGACGUAGCGACGGACGACGACGAGGGAGGAGGAG